UACAGAGGGUGCAAGCGUUGUUCGGAAUUAUUGGGCGUAAAGGGCGCGUAGGCGGUGCGGUAAGUCUGUAGUGAAAUCUCUGGGCUCAACUCAGAGUCUGCUGCAGAAACUGCCGUGCUUGAGUGUGGGAGAGGUGAGUGGAAUUCCCGGUGUAGCGGUGAAAUGCGUAGAUAUCAGGAGGAACACCUGUGGCGAAAGCGGCUCACUGGACCACAACUGACGCUGAGGCGCGAAAGCUAGGGGAGCAAACAGG
rnacentral:rRNA from 1 species